AAUGGGUCAGCGACUUAUAUUCUGUAGCAAGGUUAACCGUAUAGGGGAGCCGAAGGGAAACCGAGUCUUAACUGGGCGUUAAGUUGCAGGGUAUAGACCCGAAACCCGGUGAUCUAGCCAUGGGCAGGUUGAAGGUUGGGUAACACUAACUGGAGGACCGAACCGACUAAUGUUGAAAAAUUAGCGGAUGACCUGUGGCUGGGGGUGAAAGGCCAAUCAAACCGGGAGAUAGCUGGUUCUCCCCGAAAGCUAUUUAGGUAGCGCCUCGUGAACUCAUCUUCGGGGGUAGAGCACUGUUUCGGCUAGGGGGCCAUCCCGGCUUACCAACCCGAUGCAAACUACGAAUACCGAAGAAUGUUAUCACGGGAGACACACGGCGGGUGCUAACGUCCGUCGUGAAGAGGGAAACAACCCAGACCGCCAGCUAAGGUCCCAAAGUCAUGGUUAAGUGGGAAACGAUGUGGGAAGGCACAGACAGCCAGGAUGUUGGCUUAGAAGCAGCCAUCAUUUAAAGAAAGCGUAAUAGCUCACUGGUCGAGUCGGCCUGCGCGGAAGAUGUAACGGGGCUAAACCAUGCACCGAAGCUGCGGCAGCGACACUAUGU
rnacentral:rRNA from 1 species